rnacentral:rRNA from 1 species
AUGUAUGUUUUGAAGCUCACUUUAUUCUAUCACGCAGUUCGCUAUAAAACUCCUUUGAGGUUCACUUGGUACUCCGAAACAAAAACACCUUCAGAAGGAGCUCGCUACUCAUUACAUGCAGUGUGUUUGGUCCUCAGAUGUGGUUCAUUUUUGAGAGUGAUGUUGUUCACUUGCACAAAGCGUGGAAGUGUGAAAAAAUUAUCGAAACAAAAAAUAGUAAUGUGGUUCACUUCCAUGUAUGUUGAGGUUCAUUUGCACUCGUCUCUGCUGUCCACUCUGAUUCAUAAAAAAAUGUUUUAA